rnacentral:rRNA from 1 species
CCUACGUGAGGCAGCAGUGAGGAAUAUUGGACAAUGGGCGCAAGCCUGAUCCAGCCAUGCCGCGUGCAGGAUGACGGUCCUAUGGAUUGUAAACUGCUUUUGUACAGGAAGAAACAGUUCUACGUGUAGAACCUUGACGGUACUGUAAGAAUAAGGAUCGGCUAACUCCGUGCCAGCAGCCGCGGUAAUACGGAGGAUCCAAGCGUUAUCCGGAAUCAUUGGGUUUAAAGGGUCCGUAGGCGGUUUAGUAAGUCAGUGGUGAAAGCCCAUCGCUCAACGGUGGAACGGCCAUUGAUACUGCUAAACUUGAAUUAUUAGGAAGUAACUAGAAUAUGUAGUGUAGCGGUGAAAUGCUUAGAGAUUACAUGGAAUACCAAUUGCGAAGGCAGGUUACUACUAAUGGAUUGACGCUGAUGGACGAAAGCGUGGGUAGCGAACAGGAUUAGAUACCCUGGUAGUCCACGCCGUAAACGAUGGAUACUAGCUGUUGGAAGCAAUUUCAGUGGCUAAGCGAAAGUGAUAAGUAUCCCACCUGGGGAGUACGUUCGCAAGAAUGAAACUCAAAGGAAUUGACGGCUGAGAGAGCGACGACGACGACGAGGGAGGAGG